GCUCCAUUGGCGCAGUUGGUUAGUCGCAUGGUACUUAUAAGAUUAAGGAAUGCCAAGGUCGGGAGUUCGAUCCUCCCAUGGAGCA